rnacentral:lncRNA from 1 species
AGUUCCACCUUAUAAAAAAUAAAGCCCAUACCAACGAUGUUGACGGCAACCCAAAAUUUCUCAUGUUGGUCACAUCCUUUUUGAAACCAUGUUUGUACCACCUGACCGUGUGAGGCUAAAAAAUGAUUCCUUGUUUGACCUGCACGAUUGAACCCACCUAGCUCUUUACCAUAUCUAAUUCUCGUCUCCUUGGAGAACAUACCCUAUAGCCAUU